UUUGGUGGCUUUUGCAGAGCUACAGGAAUAACUUUGGCUUUUGGAACACUGGACUAACCAUGUCAGGAUAACAUACUCCCUUGGAUUAUAGUCAUCGGACUCGCAAGACCAGACUCCAACACGGGCUGAAAUGGGGCCUGACACUCUUGGACACAGAUGUCGGCUACGGCCGCGGCUUCAAAUACGCUUUGGUGACCAUAUUUCUAAUCGAGAGGUGAGGUAAUAUAUUUGUCUGUAUAAUAUUUUGUGAAUUGGUUUAGGACACAGUGGUGUCUUUUUUUAAGCAAGUAUCCAUUGAGAGGGGUCAGAGGAUUAGCUCAAGCUCCAACAUAUCUAGCUGCUACCUUGCUUAACAUAGCUGCUACCUCAAUCGCUUUAUUUUUGUGUGUUUUCCCCCCUGUGGCAUUUAUUCUGUGCACAUGAACACGUUUUCAGAAUUGCUCUGUGUAACUCAGACGGUUACUCUUGUGUGUUUUGCUACUAGUUGUGCGAACGAGCCAGACAAACCAGCUGGGAGGACGGAAGCACCCCUUCUCCAUCCGCGUUCAGUAACUGAAUACGGAUUCACCCCGUAGUUGUGGUGUUUUCCAUAGCUGUUCCUUGCUCCUGUAUCACAACAUAUCAAGGCUGCCAAGUAAAUGAAGAAUGAAUCACCGCACACUGGUAGUUUAUUUUAUUCAUGUUUGUGGGUGUAAUUUCGUCCAGUUGCAGAUACUACUAUCCUUUUUGGAAUGAUCUGCCUUUGAAAAACAAUCUGACAAAAGCGAACAGAUCCUGUAGUUGUAAUUGAUACACUAGACUAAAUUAUCAUAUUCCUAUGUGUGCGCGCGCACGCGCCAAGUUUUCAAUUCAACACACUGGGACACUUUUCAGUCUUCGAGGUUGCUGGAAUCAACACAGACUACCUCCAUGCACCUUAUCAGAAUACUUUGCAUGUUUUUUGUAUACUUGUCCCCUUUGUGUAUUGCUGCUAAUAUUUAUCUUUCUAGGUUCUGUUGGUUGCAUGCAGAUUGUGCCAGAUGAUUUAUCUGUCUAUGGUCUAAGCAUGGGCUCUGUGCUAAUAUGCAAUUUGUGCUCUUUUUUCCCUCAGGUCAACAGCAGACAGGGUCCUUCCACAACCACAUACUUAUGCCAGUAAAAGCUACAGCUUUUCUCCUCCGAUCCAAGAAGCCUGGACUGCAGUCACCAUCUCAACACACCAACCAAGAGAAAGGCGGAUGGCUCAAUUCAAUAUGGAAAAUUGCACAAUAAAAGUUCCAGGACAUGAAGGCUGCAUACUGUGAACGUCAACCUUCAGGGCACCGUCCUGCGCAGAAGACUUUCUACCCUAAGAGGGAUGGCUGACCGCAGACACUCACAACCAGCACAGACGCCUCCAACCUCAGACUAGGCCCUUCACAGUUGCUGCACUUACCCACCUUCCCAGAGUUUUUGUGUGGUAAUGACAACUGUAAAUAUAGUAUAAAGUAAUGUAUCUAGUGUCAUGUGUAAUACAUUGUUUAAAUUGUCCAUACAU